UUCAAAAUGUUCGACAUAUGGGUUACGGUCUCGCCUCUGUUCCCAAUAAACGUCGAUUAGGGUUAGGGUUUUGGAGACGUCUAAGCUUCGGCGCUCACAAUAUCUGCGUGCACACAUAUAUGCUCCAAGUUGUAAUCAUCCUCUCCGCCGGCAGGAGCCCUUGCGCACCUGGUUGUGCCAUGCUAUAGAGCAGGUUUGGCCAAUUUUGGAAACAUGUUUUGUACCUUUGAUGCGGAUUUGGUUCUUCGAACGUCAUGCGUAAUAUGAUAUCCUUGGGAUGGGGAUAAUUGCAAUAAACAUGCUGUUCACUUUUUUCAUGUUGCCUGGUGGCACUGAGAAUGGGACGUGCAGAUGUUUUGAGUUGUUGGACGUUAGAGUUGAUCCACUUCCCGAAUUGGUGUGAAGUCGUUACGAGUUUCCGUUAUCUUUGGUUUUGCCAUUUUGCUAUGUGUUUCCAGUAUGUUAGUAAAUUCUUUUCAAGAUGGAGUUCUGUGAGCUCUCUCAUCAUUGGGUUCCAACCCAACCUCAAGUGUUAUCUUCUGUGUAUAAGACGGUCUUUUUUUUACAACUCUUAUAUUUUCGUUUCAA